UACAGAGGGUGCAAGCGUUGUUCGGAAUUAUUGGGCGUAAAGCGCGUGUAGGCGGCAUGGCAAGUCGGGUGUGAAAGCCCUCAGCUCAACUGAGGAAGUGCGCCCGAAACUGCUGCGCUUGAGUACCGGAGAGGGUGGCGGAAUUCCCCAAGUAGAGGUGAAAUUCGUAGAUAUGGGGAGGAACACCGGUGGCGAAGGCGGCCACCUGGACGGUCACUGACGCUGAGACGCGAAAGCGUGGGUAGCAAACAGG
rnacentral:rRNA from 1 species